AGGUAAACGAAGGAAAACAACUAGAGACACCAACUUAUUGACCUGCCUCACCUUCCGGGAGUCACAUGACCAAGACAUGAAUUAAACUUAGAUACAUGUACUUGAUAAUACAAUGGUUUCACACACAUUUUACGGACACAGAAACAUGACGAUCCAAACUGUUGCCAAAAUGCAAACCAAAAGGCAUGAUAUCAUAUAGAAUAUAUUAAUAUAGGCAUAUUUUUGCCUAAUGUUGACAGUGGGUUAAGCUAUCAGUAUCAGUAGCUUAAGGAGAGGAGAUCCUCUGUAUCAGGAUCAGCACAGACAUGAUUCCCUCUCACUCGAAAUCCUCCACAAGAAUCCCUUUACAUCCUUAAGCCCAGUAGAUACUGGUAGCCAGGUGCAUAUCCACCCUCCCAAAAACACUGGGGCCAUACUUAACGAAAUUCAGACAAAGUUUAAAUUCAAGUUUAAGUAUCAGCCAAUAAAAAUGGAUGGUGUAUUGUCACGCGAUAGAAAGCUGCAUUGCAGCUGGUCCCAUCAGAUAACAUGGCACACGUUAGCCCUAUGCUAAGUUCACCAGGUGGCAGUGAUUAUUUCCUUUAACAGCUUCCUCAUCAGCCUAUCAAAGAUGUUAACCUUGUGGGCGACAAAAGUCAAGCGGCACAAUCUGCUUUUGAAGUUACUAAAAAGAUUCUGAUUUAAACUGGAUGUUUAGACCACAGUGUAGUGAUCCUGGCACCUGGUACUUUUCACAGUGUGCGGCAAGUUGGAAUCCCAGGGCCAUCGUGAUAACCAACCAUCAGACCUAAUCUGCCUGUCGACAGGCUGAACAUGCUGAUCCCAACCACACACAGCCCAUCUAAUAAAUUAGUACCAUCUUUAUUGGUGUGAGAAGAUAAGAUGAGGUCCUGACCUCAUAUCCUUGGAGGAUACCGUUGGUGCUGAGAUGUUGGAUGGGGUCCCACAACACCUGCAUCUCGAAUGCUGUCAGAGCCGUGGCAUUGAUCCUCGAGGGCGCCACCGUGGGCUCUGCAUGGAG